GACNAACGCUGGCGGCGUGCCUAACACAUGCAAGUCGAGCGGAUUAUUUUGGUGUAGCAAUACAUCAGAAUAAUUAGCGGCGGACGGGUGAGUAACACGUAAACAAUCUACCUCCGAGACUGGGAUAACCCGCCGAAAGGUGGACCAAUACCAGAUGAGGCUCCGGAAACGCAUGUUUCUGGAAUCAAAGGGAACGCAAGAACCGCUUGGAGAUGAGUUUGCGGCCUAUCAGCUAGUUGGCGGUGUAAGAGACCACCAAGGCGACGACGGGUAGCUGGUCUGAGAGGACGACCAGUCACACUGGAACUGAGACACGGUCCAGACUCCUACGGGAGGCAGCAGUGAGGAAUUUUCCGCAAUGGGCGAAAGCCUGACGGAGCGACGUCGUGUGUGGGACGAAGGUCUUCGGAUCGUAAACCACUGUCAGAGGGGACGAAAUUGACUGUACCCUCAGAGGAAGCCCCGGCUAACUAUGUGCCAGCAGCCGCGGUAAUACAUAGGGGGCGAGCGUUGUCCGGAAUUACUGGGCGUAAAGCGCGCGUAGGUGGCUUGGUAAGUCAGGUGUGAAAGGCGGCAGCUCAACUGCCGUAUGUCAUCUGAGACUGCCGAGCUCGAGAUCAGGAGAGGGAAGCGGAACUACCGGUGUAGCGGUGAAAUGCGUAGAUAUCGGUAGGAACACCAGUGGCGAAGGCGGCUUCCUGGCCUGUUUCUGACACUGAGGUGCGAAAGCUCGGGGAGCAAACGGGAUUAGAUACCCCGGUAGUCCGAGCUGUAAACGAUGAUCACUAGGUGUAGGAGGUAUCGACCCCUUCUGUGCCGCAGCUAACGCGUUAAGUGAUCCGCCUGGGGAGUACGGCCGCAAGGCUAAAACUCAAAAGAAUUGACGGGGGCCCGCACAAGCGGUGGAGCAUGUGGUUUAAUUCGAUGCUACGCGAAGAACCUUACCUGGGCUUGAAAUGUUGGACGUAAAAUCCUGAAAGGGAAAUGACCCGUUAAAUCGGGAACCAACACAGGUGCUGCAUGGUUGUCGUCAGCUCGUGUCGUGAGAUGUUGGGUUAAGUCCCGCAACGAGCGCAACCCCUGGGAUUAGUUGCUACCCGCAAGGGAGAACUCUAAUCCGACUGCCAGUGAUAAACUGGAGGAAGGUGGGGACGACGUCAAAUCAUCAUGGCCCUUACGUCCAGGGCUACACACGUGCUACAAUGGCGCAGACAGUGGGAAGCAAGACCGCAAGGUGGAGCAAAUCCUCAAACUGCGCCUCAAUACGGAUUGUCGGCUGCAACUCGCCGGCAUGAAGCUGGAAUCGCUAGUAACCGCCGAACAGAAAUUGCGGCGGUGAGUACGUUCUCGGGCCUUGUACACACCGCCCGUCACACCAUGGAAGUUAGAAAUACCCGAAGCCUGUGCGCCAACCCUUUGGGAGGCAGCAGUCGAAGGUAGAGCUAGCAANGGGG
rnacentral:rRNA from 1 species